rnacentral:rRNA from 1 species
UACGGAGGGGGCUAGCGUUGUUCGGAAUUACUGGGCGUAAAGCGCGCGUAGGCGGACCUGCAAGUCGGGGGUGAAAGCCCGAGGCUCAACCUCGGAACUGCCUUCGAUACUGCGGGUCUCGAGUCCGGGAGAGGUGAGUGGAAUUCCUAGUGUAGAGGUGAAAUUCGUAGAUAUUAGGAAGAACACCAGUGGCGAAGGCGGCUCACUGGUCCGGUACUGACGCGUGAGGUGACGAAAGCGUGGGGAGCAAACAGG